GAUGAACGCUGGCGGCGUGCCUAAUACAUGCAAGUCGAGCGAAUGGAUUGAGAGCUUGCUCUUAUGAAGUUAGCGGCGGACGGGUGAGUAACACGUGGGUAACCUGCCCAUAAGACUGGGAUAACUCCGGGAAACCGGGGCUAAUACCUGAUAACAUUUUGAACCGCAUGGUUCGAAAUUGAAAGGCGGCUUCGGCUGUCACUUAUGGAUGGACCCGCGUCGCAUUAGCUAGUUGGUGAGGUAACGGCACACCAAGGCAACGAUGCGUAGCCGACCGGAGAGGGGGAUCGGCCACACUGGGACUGAGACACGGCCCAGACUCCUACGGGAGGCAGCAGUAGGGAAGCUUCCGCAAUGGACGAAAGUCUGACGGAGCAACGCCGCGUGAGUGAUGAAGGCUUUCGGGUCGUAAAACUCUGUUGUUAGGGGAGAACAAGUGCUAGUUGAAUAAGCUGGCACCUUGACGGUACCUAACCAGAAAGCCACGGCUAACUACGUGCCAGCCGCCGCGGUAA
rnacentral:rRNA from 1 species